rnacentral:rRNA from 1 species
UUGUCCUUAGUUACCAGCACGUUAUGGGUGGGCACUCUAAGGAGACUGCCGGUGACAAACCGGAGGAAGGUGGGGAUGACGUCAAGUCAUCAUGGCCCUUACGGCCUGGGCUACACACGUGCUACAAUGGUCGGUACAAAGGGUUGCCAAGCCGCGAGGUGGAGCUAAUCCCAUAAAACCGAUCGUAGUCCGGAUCGCAGUCUGCAACUCGACUGCGUGAAGUCGGAAUCGCUAGUAAUCGUGAAUCAGAAUGUCACGGUGAAUACGUUCCCGGGCCUU